UGCGACGGUGNGUACGCGUGAAACUAGCGUAUACUGGGGAGUACACUAGAAUAGUGCUAUACGCAUAAGCGCACAGCUCGCAUGAAGCGGUGUGAAAAACUCUGGUGGUAUACGAUGGUUCCGCGUCUGAUUAGCUAGUUGGUGGGGUAAUGGCCUACCAAGGCAACGAUCAGUAGCCGGCCUGAGAGGGUGAACGGCCACAUUGGGACUGAGACACGGCCCAAACUCCUACGGGAGGCAGCAG
rnacentral:rRNA from 1 species